GUCCCUUUAGGGCAAUGGACACCGCGUUGGACUUCAAAUCCAAAGGUCGUGGGUUCGAAUCCCACCAGGGAUG
rnacentral:tRNA from 1 species